GUUCUGGAAGGCAACUUGGAAGCUCUGUUUAUGUUGGUACUACUAACAGCAUCUUGUACCCUUUGACAUCUGUUUUGGCUAGCACAAAUGAGUCGACUUAAAUUCACAAAGCUCUCUAUGUGCAAGCCUUCAUAACAGCACUUCUUGACUGGCCAGCACCCUGGUUUCUGCAUCCUGUUUCAUGGGUGGACCGAUCCCCCUGGUUGACCAAUCACCACUUUGACAAAUUCUUGCUUACGAACGCUUUCUGAAUCUGCUCUCGGGUUCCUUGUGCACCGCCUUACUGUUUCAAACAUUGAAGUGUUAUGCUAUUACAAAAAUUAGCAGCAUCAGAAAUGUUUGUAUUCUUGUUGUGUGGCCUCUUUCCCAGCUCCUCGGCCAUCAAAAUUGCUCGUCUCCCGAAGCGACCGUCAUACUGAAUGUGCUGCGUUGCCAUAAUGCCGCGAAUGAACUGAGUCGAACCACAAAAGGUUAUAGGGUAUUACAGCACCGUAACCAGUCACAAGCACAGUGAAAACAGCGCCGAUUCCAACCAAAAACAAGUUAGCACUUCGGUCGACCUGUCCAUGGAUUGGAUCGAGCCGUAAGGUUACAGGUUGCCAACGUAACGCAAGAAAUCGUGGGAUUUAGUAGAUUUGUUUUAAAUGGUCAAUUUUGAUGUUAUUCGAAUGAACACAAGGGUCAUGGUUCAAGCAACGAAAAUUGUGAAAAAAGUACACUUGUGUUACAAUCGAAUAAAUACCACAAUUUUUGAAUAAUUUAAUCUACCUUCCUUGCAAGCAGUGCAGGUUCGUGCCGUGGGAUUUUUCAGGCAGUCUGUACCUGUUUUUUGGGCAAGACAUCGUCACUGCCUAUAUUCUUAGUUUUUUUUAUUAUACGAUGCCCCGAUUAUAGAGCGGUUUUGUGUGGUCCCCUCAAAGCCUUUUAAUCGGGGUUCCACUGUAAUUGCAAUGUAAAUUGUCUUUCAGUGCCUGUGUUCAUGUAUGAGGGCUUGCAAUUGGGGUGUAGGGUGUUCAUGCAUAAUUUGUGAAAACUUUUCGUUUCAGACCUGAAGCCUACAGCUUCAGAUUGUGCGCUUGACUGUCAAGCCUUGUGAAGGAGAGGAUGGAGGCUUUUAUUUCCCCUUACCACCCGGAUGCGUCACAUCAUAUGCCUACGGUGAAAUACGAGGGAACUAGCCUGCUGCAAGCAAGAGCCCUCUAUGUACAGCUCGAAUCGAUCAAGAUUGACGAAGAUGACCUUGUCUCUGGCCUUGCCAUGCAGAUUGCCCUUUACUGGAUAUUCGACAUUGUUUUUGCACCAAAGGCACAAAGAACAUUUGACCAUAUGCCACAUGGUCGGUGUUAACAGUGGUGUGUGGCCAACUCCACUUGUGCGCGUGUCACACACGUUGCUACUGUAAAAAAAAAUAA